rnacentral:rRNA from 1 species
GGCUCAGGAUGAACGCUGGCGGCGUGCUUAACACAUGCAAGUCGAACGAUGACCUCCAGCUUGCUGGGGUGAUUAGUGGCGAACGGGUGAGUAACACGUGAGUAACCUGCCCUUAACUCUGGGAUAAGCCUGGGAAACUGGGUCUAAUACCGGAUAUGACUCCUCAUCGCAUGGUGGGGGGUGGAAAGCUUUUUGUGGUUUUGGAUGGACUCGCGGCCUAUCAGCUUGUUGGUGAGGUAAUGGCUCACCAAGGCGACGACGGGUAGCCGGCCUGAGAGGGUGACCGGCCACACUGGGACUGAGACACGGCCCAGACUCCUACGGGAGGCAGCAGUGGGGAAUAUUGCACAAUGGGCGAAAGCCUGAUGCAGCGACGCCGCGUGAGGGAUGACGGCCUUCGGGUUGUAAACCUCUUUCAGUAGGGAAGAAGCGAAAGUGACGGUACCUGCAGAAGAGGCGCCGGCUAACUACGUGCCAGCAGCCGCGGUAAUACGUAGGGCGCAAGCGUUAUCCGGAAUUAUUGGGCGUAAAGAGCUCGUAGGCGGUUUGUCGCGUCUGCCGUGAAAGUCCGGGGCUCAACUCCGGAUCUGCGGUGGGUACGGGCAGACUAGAGUGAUGUAGGGGAGACUGGAAUUCCUGGUGUAGCGGUGAAAUGCGCAGAUAUCAGGAGGAACACCGAUGGCGAAGGCAGGUCUCUGGGCAUUAACUGACGCUGAGGAGCGAAAGCAUGGGGAGCGAACAGGAUUAGAUACCCUGGUAGUCCAUGCCGUAAACGUUGGGCACUAGGUGUGGGGGACAUUCCACGUUUUCCGCGCCGUAGCUAACGCAUUAAGUGCCCCGCCUGGGGAGUACGGCCCGCAGGCUAAAACUC